CUCCAACCUUGCUGACUGCUUACAGCUCUGCCUGGAAGGCUCCUACCUCACCACUUCACCUGACCAUCCCUUCUCCAUCCUUUGGGUCUUCACUUGGACAUCACCUCUUCCAGCCGGGCUCAAGGUGAUUAUUCUGGGACCACCAUGCUGUGAGAAAAGCCCAAGCUCCAUAGAAAGGCCCUGGAGGAAGAGAAGUCAUGUGAUAAGAGAUCGAGGAGCACAGAGGUGCCAGACAUAAGAGUGAAGAAGUCAUCCUGGAAGUGGAUGCCCCAGCCCUAGCUAUCUCAGUUGACACCAUGUGGAUCAGAGAUAAACCAUCCAGCCAGACCAUUUCUGAAUUCCUGAUCUAUGAAACUGUGAGCAAAGUAAAAUGUUUGUUUUGAGCCUCUGAGAGUAUGCAGUUUCCUUCAUAGCAAUAUAUAACCGGAACAUCUCCCUUUUAAGGAGUCUUCCAGAAAUCUCAAACAACACUUGGCUUUAAUUUUCUUGGCCCAAACUUAGUCACAUGGCCACACUUAACGAUAAGUAAGUCUGGGAAUUGUAGUCUUUUCCCUGGGCUGCAAUGUUCUCAACUAAAUUCAGGGUUCUAUUACCAAGGGGGAAGGGAAGAAUAGGUAAGAGAAUUGAAAACAGCUGUCAGUCUCCAACAAAAUUUAUGUCUAAUCCAGUGAGUCUCAAAACAUGGCCCCUGGGCCAGCAGCAUCAGUAGCACCUGGAAAUUUGUUAGAAAUGAAAAUUCUCCAAUCCUACCUUAGACCUACUGAAUCAGGAAUCCUGGAGCUGGGAUCCAGCAAUCUGUGAUUGUUGUGAUUGAGUGGUCAAGGAAAUUCUAAAACACACAGAAGUUUGAGAACCAUUGGUCUAAACUUAAAGGAAAUUAUUCUUCCUGGUGAAAUGUCAGAAAUAUUUCCUUUAAAAUCAGGAACAGAACAAAGAUGUCCAGAUUCAUUGCUUCUAUUUAACAUCAUGCUUUCUGUUCUGGCCAGCGCAGCAAGAAAAGAAAAAGAAAUAAAUGUAAAAGAAGAGAUAAAACUGUCAUAUUCACUGUUGAUUUGAUUGUGUAUAUUUAAAAUAAAUCCAAGUUCCAAGUUGCUGAUUGUAUGAAUGUACAAAAAUGGGUUUCUUCCUAUACGACACAACAAAUUAUUUAGAUAUCAUUGGUAAUGGCAAG
rnacentral:lncRNA from 1 species